rnacentral:rRNA from 1 species
AUGGAGGUGGAGAGGCCCGUGUCCAUGAUGCCAGGCCUGGCCGACGGGUUCUUCACGGAGGCCGACCUGGCGGCGGCGGACCAGCUGGUGCAGCUCAGCGUGAGCGGGGGAGCGGAGGCGACAUCCCCGACGUCGUCCACGCGGUCGGUGCAGUCGGUGAACAACACCGAGGCGGCGGGGAGGAAGGGCGGCUGCGAUGACGGCGCGCCGUGGCUGGACAGGAGGGCCAGGAAGCGGUACCGGCGGGUGGCGGAGCUCUACCACGCCACGCGGCCGCUUAAGCGCACGGACGCCGGCGGCAAGCGGAGGAGGGAGGAGAUCACGGGGAAUCGGUAG